rnacentral:rRNA from 1 species
GAGUUUGAUCUUGGCUCAGGAUGAACGCUAGCGGCAGGCUUAACACAUGCAAGUCGAGGGGCAGCACGGACUUCGGUCUGGUGGCGACCGGCAAACGGGUGCGGAACACGUACGCAACAUACCCUUUACUGGGGGAUAGCCUUCUGAAAAGGAGAUUAAUACCCCAUAAGAUCAUGGGCUGGCAUCAGUCAGUGAUUAAAGAUUUAUUGGUAAAGGAUUGGCGUGCGUCCUAUUAGCUAGUUGGCAGGGUAAUGGCCUACCAAGGCGACGAUAGGUAGCUGGUGUGAGAGCACGACCAGCCACACGGGCACUGAGACACGGGCCCGACUCCUACGGGAGGCAGCAGUGAGGAAUAUUGGUCAAUGGACGCAAGUCUGAACCAGCCAUGCCGCGUGAAGGAUGAAGGCGUUCUGCGUUGUAAACUUCUUUUAUUGGGGAAGAAACCUGGAUUUUCUAAUCCAGCCGACGGUACCCAAGGAAUAAGCACCGGCUAACUCCGUGCCAGCCGCCGCGGUAAC